rnacentral:rRNA from 1 species
CNUUNAGGCAGCAGUAGGGAAUCUUNCGCAAUAAGCNUGANGCAGCGACNCCGNGUGGGGAAGAAGGCCUUCGGGUAGUAAACCCCUGUCUUGGGGGACGAAACACAUGACGGUACCCCAUGAAGAAGCCCCGGCUAANUACGUUCCAGCACGCGGUAAUUAUAGGGGNCAAACGNUCUGGAAUCACUGGGNGUAAAGGGNGGGUAGGCGGCNUNUUAAGUCCCGUGUGAAAGGCNUNGGCUCAANCGGGGGGGCCACGGGAAACUGGUAGGCUCGAGGGCCGGAGAGGAUGGCGGAAUUCCCGGUGUAGCGGUGAAAUGCGUAGAUAUUGGGAGGAACCCCCGUGGGGAAGGCGGCCAUUUGGACGGUCCCUGACGCUGAGGCACGAAAGCUGGGGGAGCAAACAGGAUUAGAUACCCUGGUAGUUCCAGCCGUAAACGAUGGAUGCUAGGUGUUGGGGGUUUCGACACCCUCAGUGCCGUANACNCAUAAGCAC